GAUGAACGCUAGCUACAGGCUUAACACAUGCAAGUCGAGGGGCAGCGGGAUUGAAGCUUGCUUCAAUUGCCGGCGACCGGCGCACGGGUGAGUAACGCGUAUCCAACCUUCCGUACACUCAGGGAUAGCCUUUCGAAAGAAAGAUUAAUACCUGAUGGUAUGAUGAGAUUGCAUGAUAGCAUCAUUAAAGAUUUAUCGGUGUACGAUGGGGAUGCGUUCCAUUAGGUAGUAGGCGGGGUAACGGCCCACCUAGCCUACGAUGGAUAGGGGUUCUGAGAGGAAGGCCCCCCACAUUGGAACUGAGACACGGUCCAAACUCCUACGGGAGGCAGCAGUGAGGAAUAUUGGUCAAUGGACGAGAGUCUGAACCAGCCAAGUAGCGUGAAGGAUGACUGCCCUACGGAUUGUAAACUUCUUUUAUAAGGGAAUAAACCCUCCCAGUGUGGGAGCUUGUAUGUACCUUAUGAAUAAGCAUCGGCUAACUCCGUGCCAGCAG
rnacentral:rRNA from 1 species